rnacentral:lncRNA from 1 species
CCUCUAACUAUCCAACAUUUGGGCAUCAAUGACCAGAGGCCUGAAACCUCUUUUGCGUGAACGAUGGAGGAGUCCUUAUCUUAGAAGGACUUCUCCCAUGGGCACUAUUUUUCUAGAGGCGUGAAGAGCUUCCUUGCAUCCAACUUUUAGAUGUCAAAAUCAAAGGGCACAGGAGACCGUAGAGGAAUCCAUCUUAAGAUUAAAUUCCUCCAAAAAACAUG